rnacentral:lncRNA from 1 species
CCGCUACCUUGCCACCACUCAAGGAAGCUCCACCCCUGAAGAGUGACUGACAGAAACGCCCUGGUGGUGAGGCAGAUUCACAGGCUCAGGCAGACGCAGACGCAGCACCAGUCCUCUCCCAGACAGACGCACGUGCAGUUCUCACACACGGCACACCCUGAUAAACGCAGGGACUGCAGUACAGCUAGGAAAGGGAGAGCAGAG